UACGGAGGAUGCGAGCGUUAUCCGGAUUUAUUGGGUUUAAAGGGUGCGCAGGCGGCACGGCAAGCCGGCGGUCAAAUCACGGGGCUCAACCCCGCCCAGCCGUCGGAACUGCCGGGCUAGAGUGGGCGAGAAGUGCGCGGAAUGCGUGGUGUAGCGGUGAAAUGCAUAGAUAUCACGCAGAACUCCGAUUGCGAAGGCAGCGCACCGGCGCCCUACUGACGCUCAGGCACGAAAGCGUGGGUAUCGAACAGG
rnacentral:rRNA from 1 species